rnacentral:tmRNA from 1 species
GGGGGUGAAUGGAUUCGACGGGAACGUGGACGUGAGGGUAGCAGGCGGAGCUUUCUGCCAGCUCCUAAAACCGCGCAGAACACCAAUAAGUGCCAAUGAUUUUGCACUUGCCGCUCCUGCCCUGAACUAAACCUAGGGGCUAUAAUAGGAGCUGUCUCCGUGGGCCUCCGCCCGUAGGGCCCACAGGGGACACCGAUCAUGCGGGCUGGCGCGCCAGAGCGCUUCCCGAGGGCGCGUGAGAUAACAGGGAAGCUCGGCGGCCGAGAUCAGGUCUCGCAGGAGCUCGGCCGCUUAAAACCAAUGGUGAGAAUAAGCCUGUAGAAGCCAAGCGAAAGCGUUUUCGGACGGGGGUUCGACUCCCCCCACCUCCACCA